rnacentral:rRNA from 1 species
CCAAUAGCGUAUAUUAAAGUUGUUGCAGUUAAAAAGCUCGUAGUUGAAUUUCGGGAUCAAUAUGUCGGUCGUGCCUCGGUACGUACUGGCGUAAUUGGUUUCUCCCUUCUGAAGAACCUCGAUGUCAUUAAUUUGGUGUCGUGGGGAAUCAGGACUGUUACUUUGAAAAAAUUAGAGUGUUUAAAGCAGGCUCGCGCUUGAAUACAUUAGCAUGGAAUAAUGAAAUAGGACGUUUGAUUCUAUUUUGUUGGUUUCUAGGAUCGACGUAAUGAUUAAUAGGGACAGUUGGGGGCAUUAGUAUUCAAUUGUCAGAGGUGAAAUUCUUGGAUUUAUUGAAGACUAACUACUGCGAAAGCAUUUGCCAAGGAUGUUUUCAUUAAUCAAGAACGAAAGUUAGGGGAUCGAAGACGAUCAGAUACCGUCGUAGUCUUAACCAUAAACUAUGCCGACUAGGGAUCGGAUGAUGUUGAUUUUUUAAUGACUCAUUCGGCGCCUUACG